CUUCCUCUAUCCUCAAACCUUGUG
rnacentral:misc_RNA from 1 species